GGAGUCUUGGCAGAGCGGUCUAAUGCGCGGCCUUGCUAAGGCCGAGUUCGGGCAACUGAACCGUAGGUUCGAAUCCUACAGACUCCG
rnacentral:tRNA from 1 species